GACUUCUGUUCUUGAACAUCAGCUCUGCUGAUUAGUAUUUCCUUAAUGGGGACUAAGUAAGGUUCGGUGAGCCGUUAAUCAUGAUUGAAUUUAUCGGGAUUGUAGCAUUCUCUCCUGUGUUACCGAACAUCUGGUUUCCACUAGCCAUUGAAGAUUCAGUCAUUGUAGGUAAAUUAUCUGAUGAUGAGGCUGUGUUCUCUGCUGCUGGUUUCUCAUUCGGUUGAUGGGUCAGCUGUGCAGGUGUUACUUGUUACUAUUUCCUCUCUGAGUUCCUCAAUAUUCCCAAUGAGAUGUGAAUUGCAGCAAAGCUGAUGCUAUAUUCUAGGGUUCCUUUGACCUGUGCAGGUGCAGGCCGAGAGCUAUACUUGAGCAGCUGUCAGCUAAGUAGUCAAUCUAGCCUUGACCUCAUUAUACCUGUAAUUAGCUCCUAAAUCAACUGCAAUUCAAG
rnacentral:misc_RNA from 1 species